AAGUCGUAACAAGGUAACCGUAGGUGAACCUGCGGUUGGAUCAUUAACAAAUGAUUUGGUCUUGAACCAAAACACUCUGUGCAACUACAUCUGUUUCUGGUGGUUUUUUGUGUAUUUCUCUCCCGCCCGGUGCUCCCGAAUGUCAAAUUUGUGUCGACGUUCACUCAAGCACGGGUAGAAAAUGGCAGGAGGAGAUCGCAGCCACCGAAUGACCAAUCAACUUUUGUAUUUUUUUUUUUGUCUGAAUCAUUCACAACUUUGUGCAAUGAAAAACAAUUUUUAACAACGGAUCUCUUGGUUCUC
rnacentral:misc_RNA from 1 species